AAUAGAUACCCUGGUAGUCUACGCCGUAAACGAUGCGCACUAGGUUCGAAGGUCUCUGACGAUCCUCGAGCCGAAACAAAAGCGAUAAGUGCGCCGCCUGGGGAGUACGGCCGCAAGGCUAAAACUCAAAGGAAUUGACGGGGGCUCACACAAGCGGUGGAGCAUGUGGAUCAAUUCGAAGCAACGCGAAGAACCUUACCUGGGUUUGACAUGCAUGGAUGCCGUCCAUGAAAGUGGAGCCGGCUGCCUUCGGGUGAAACAUGUACAGGUGCUGCAUGGCUGUCGUCAGCUCGUGCUGUGAGGUGUCGGGUUAAGUCCCUUAACGAGCGAAACCCUUAUCGCUAGUUGCCAGCGGGUCAUGCCGGGAACUCUACUGAGACUGCCGGCGUCAAGCCGGAGGAAGGCGGGGACGACGUCAAGUCAUCAUGGCCUUUAUGCCCAGGGUGUCACACGUGCUACAAUGGGGUGGUACAGAGCGACGCAAGACCGCAAGGUGGAGCAAAUCGCAGAAAACA
rnacentral:rRNA from 1 species